GCAGCCCCCGCAGCGCGUGCUGUUGUCCGGAGCGCAGUGGGCGCAGGCGGGCCCCUCCCCCACGGCACACGGGAUGGGGCCCUGGCAGGAAGACUGGUCGUAGGGGCAGGUGCAGCUGUGGCUCUGCUCCAGGAAGGUGCCGGGAAGGGUGCUCUCUGCACAGUAGAGGAGCGACUGGACUCGGUUCCACCAAUAGGACAAGGACCUUGGGGAAGGGAGGUAGACAUAAACAGGGAGUCAGAGGAAGCCCACCACCGUCUCUCCCGAGGGUGGGAGGACACUGACCAACAGGCAGGAGAGGUAAUGAGAAGGACAAGAGCCCCAAGUUCCCUGCAUGAUGUAAACCCCCUGCUGCACCACUCUGGAAUGAUUGAGUCAGGCCCGCAGCGCAGCGUCUGACAGACAGAUCAACACCAGAAAUACUUGACACCAGACUUGCCCAGCGAGCAGCCAGCUUCGUCCCACCCCAGUACCACCUCCUUCCCUCCCUCUGCAGCCUACAGGAGAUCUCCUGCAGCCUCUGCAUCAAAACCCCUUCUGCAUUUGUCAGACUUCCGGGUAAGACUAUCCAACAACUGGCUCUCCCCGCUCCCAGCGUCCCAUCAGGUUCUUUCCCACUUCUCCAUCGCUGUCUUUUCUAUUCCCUCUGCUUCUGUCACUCUGCAACCAGGAACAGGAAUUUCCUAUGGCUGGCUCCCUCUUCUGAUUUACAUCUCAGCUCCUCUGGUCCCCCCCUCAAAGAGGUCUCCCGUGACGCCCUUUUCAGAAGAACCACCCAUUCGCUAUCACAUCGCGCUGUUUUCACAUAAUGCACGGCAGGGAUCAGGACUGGACAUUAUUGUCUACUGGUGAUGUGUCCCCAGACGGCUUCUCUGUGGAUGCCGCGAGAGCAGGGACGCUGCGGCAUUGGCCAGCACGUUCUCAGAAACCAGAUGGGGAAAUGGGGGUAUUGUGAAGCUGCACGGCUAAUACGAGGUCAUAAAACCAGAGUCCUGGAUCUGCAGCAGGCUGUCCUCCAUGGCCUGGAUGUCAGCGUCGGGACAGUUGCAUUCCGGAAAGGUGGGGCUGCACUUGCACCAACAGUCGUUCCCCCUGCAGACGAGCUCGCCCUCGGAGCUGCACGUGAUGUAGCUGAGUGCCGCGGCCACAAAGCGCUCACGCAGCCAUCCUGGUUCUGGCUUCUCUGAGCUAAGCAGCAGACAUCCUAAGAUGUUAUGCUGACCCCCGUCCCGGGGCUCCCACCACAGUGCUGAUGACCAAGGGGGCCGCUCUGUUAGGAAGUGGGGGCAAGGGUUGCUGAAACUCUGAGACAAAGCUCACUACUAUCACUCUCUGAAGAAGAAAACCAAGUUUCACAGAGUUUUGGUACCCAAGGCCACAGAGCUGAGAGUAGCUAAAACAGGAUUUUAAUGUUUGAGUCCUCAGUCUCCUCCUGUCUCCUGUGAGGGUGUGU